UCAAUUUGUCCUCUCAAAUCCCCCUUACGUUCUCACUCCACCCUCUGCCGGCGACAGUGGUUCCAGGGGCUGUGGUAUUGGUGGUCGUCAAAGGCAAACGGCUAGGGUUUGCCAUGAAACACUGUAGUUAUCGAAUUACACACUCUAUUUGCUGAAGAUUUUUGAUUGAUUCUGUGUAUUGUAGCAAGGAUGUUGGUUACUUAUUUUCAUCUUUUUAGAUUUCAACAAGUUUGUUCCUCAUCAACACCUUGAAUUGCAUAUAUCGGUUCAUCGUUUUAUAUGUUUGAAAUUGAAACAAGUUCCUUUUCAAUCGCAGGUUCUAGGUCUUGAAACUGAAAUCAGAAUGUUGAAAUCGCUAGAUCUUGAGUCGCUGAUAGGUGGAACCACGAUUAUAGAGACUAUGGGCCGCCUGGAGUUGACCGGGUCAUCGGUUCCUUGCCGUCUACCUUCUCGCCUAGGUACCCUGGUUAUGACUCUAGAGGGUCGAGUUAUCGAAGACGAAGCCCGUUGAUACGUGAAACGAGUUUGAGUCAUGAUGAUGAUCAGUGGCACCCUUACAAAAUUUAUUUUUUCACCAGGUGCGAACAAAUCAGUUUGUGCACCCGAGCCAUAUGAUGUUGGGCGAAUUUUGCAAGUUGAUAUUAUAUCAAAUGCUCAAAAGUCAACUGUGACGACAGAUUGUCCGAUACAGCCCGCUGUUGGAUUAGAGAGUUAUGUGGAGACGCUUUCUCGAAAAGGAAAUUCUGAAUUCAGUGUAUGUUAAAUUGUUAAUCUAUAAAUUUAUUUGGUAAAAAAGAUGUUUGACUAAUCCUUCGUGUACUUUACUCUUAUAAAUUG